rnacentral:tRNA from 1 species
GCUCUCGUGGUGUAGUGGCUAUCAUACUUUCUUAGGGUCCAGUCGGUCUCUAAUCCUUCUACAGCUAUGGAAGUGGUCCUGGGUUCAAAUCCCGGCGAGGGCC